rnacentral:rRNA from 1 species
GUAGCUUGCUACUUUGCCGGCGAGCGGCGGACGGGUGAGUAAUGUCUGGGAAACUGCCCGAUGGAGGGGGAUAACCACUGGAAACGGUGGCUAAUACCGCAUAACGUCUUCGGACCAAAGUGGGGGACCUUCGGGCCUCACACCAUCGGAUGUGCCCAGAUGGGAUUAGCUAGUAGGUGGGGUAAUGGCUCACCUAGGCGACGAUCCCUAGCUGGUCUGAGAGGAUGACCAGCCACACUGGAACUGAGACACGGUCCAGACUCCUACGGGAGGCAGCAGUGGGGAAUAUUGCACAAUGGGCGCAAGCCUGAUGCAGCCAUGCCGCGUGUGUGAAGAAGGCCUUCGGGUUGUAAAGCACUUUCAGCGAGGAGGAAGGGUAGUGUCUUAAUACGGCAUUACAUUGACGUUACUCGCAGAAGAAGCACCGGCUAACUCCGUGCCAGCAGCCGCGGUAAUACGGAGGGUGCAAGCGUUAAUCGGAAUUACUGGGCGUAAAGCGCACGCAGGCGGUUUGUUAAGUCAGAUGUGAAAUCCCCGAGCUUAACUUGGGAACUGCAUUUGAAACUGGCAGACUAGAGUCUCGUAGAGGGGGGUAGAAUUCCAGGUGUAGCGGUGAAAUGCGUAGAGAUCUGGAGGAAUACCGGUGGCGAAGGCGGCCCCCUGGACGAAGACUGACGCUCAGUGCGAAAGCGUGGGGAGCAAACAGGAUUAGAUACCGUGGGUUAGUCCAGAU